rnacentral:tRNA from 1 species
GCGGCAGUAGCUCAAUGGUGGAGCCCCGUUUCGCAUGAGGGAGACCCGGGUUCGAUUCCCGGCUGCUUCC